rnacentral:rRNA from 1 species
GCUGCAACUCGCCUGCAUGAAGUCGGAAUUGCUAGUAAUCGCGGAUCAGCAUGCCGCGGUGAAUACGUUCCCGGGCCUUGUACACACCGCCCGUCACACCACGGAAGUUGGGGGCGCCCGAAGCCACUUAGCUAACCCUUUUGGGAAGCGAGUGUCGAAGGUGAAAUCAAUAACUGGGGGUGAAGUCGUAACAAGGUAAC